GGCCUGAUGGUCUAGUAAUGUGAUUCCUUGUUAGGGUUGAUUCUGACUCUAGGUCUAUCGAGGAGGUCCCGGGUUCAAUAUUCAAUUCCCGGUCAGGCCC